GUCCCUGUAGCGCAAAUGGAUAGCGCAUUGGAGUUCUAAUCCAAAGGUCGUGGAUUCGAAUCCCACCUGGGAUG
rnacentral:tRNA from 1 species